AGAGUUUGAUCAUGGCUCAGAUUGAACCAUCAGAUUGAACGCUGGCGGCAGGCUUAACACAUGCAAGUCGAGCGGAAACGAAGAUAGCUUGCUAUCAGGCGUCGAGCGGCGGACGGGUGAGUAACGCGUAGGAAUCUACCUAAUAGUGGGGGAUAGCCCAGAGAAGUUUGGAUUAAUACCGCAUACGCCCUACGGGGGAAAGGAGGGGAUCUUCGGACCUUUCGCUAUCAGAUGAGCCUGCGUGAGAUUAGCUAGUUGGUGGGGUAAAGGCUCACCAAGGCGACGAUCUCUAGCUGGUCUGAGAGGAUGAUCAGCCACACUGGGACUGAGACACGGCCCAGACUCCUACGGGAGGCAGCAGUGGGGAAUAUUGGACAAUGGGCGCAAGCCUGAUCCAGCCAUGCCGCGUGUGUGAAGAAGGCCUGCGGGUUGGUAAGCUCUUUCAGCGAGGAGGAAAGGUUGCCGCUUAAUACGCGGUAGCUGUGACGUUACUCGCAGAAGAAGGACCGGCUAACUCUGUGCCAGCAGCCGCGGUAAUACAGAGGGUGCAAGCGUUAAUCGGAAUUACUGGGCGUAAAGCGCGCGUAGGCGGUUAGAUCAGUCAACUGUGAAAGCCCUGGGCUCAACCUGGGAACUGCAGCUGAUAACUGGCAAACUAGAGUUCUUGAGAGGGUGGUAGAAUUUCAGGUGUAGUGGUGGAAUGCGUAGAUAUCUGGAGGAACACCAGUGGCGAAGGCGGCCACCUGGCAAGUAACUGACGCUCAGAUGCGAAAGCGUGGGUAGCAAACGGGAUUAGAUACCCCGGUAGUCCACGCCGUAAACGAUGUCUACUCGGAGUUUGGUUCCUUGAGAACUGGGCUCUUAAGCCUUAAGCUAACGCAUUAAGUAGACCGCCUGGGGAGUACGGCCGCAAGGUUAAAACUCAAAUGAAUUGACGGGGGCCCGCACAAGCGGUGGAGCAUGUGGUUUAAUUCGAUGCAACGCGAAGAACCUUACCUACUCUUGACAUCCACAGAACUUUCCAGAGAUGGAUUGGUGCCUUCGGGAACUGUGAGACAGGUGCUGCAUGGCUGUCGUCAGCUCGUGUUGUGAAAUGUUGGGUUAAGUCCCGUAACGAGCGCAACCCUUGCCCUUAUUUGCCAGCACGUAAUGGUGGGAACUCUAAGGAGAUGCCGGUGACAAACCGGAGGAAGGUGGGGAUGACGUCAAGUCAUCAUGGCCCUUACGAGCGGGGCUACACACGUGCUACAAUGGCCAGGACAAACGGUUGCAACCCCGCGAGGGUGAGCUAAUCCGAGAAACCUGGUCGUAGUCCGGAUCGCAGUCUGCAACUCGAGACUGCGUGAAGUCGGAAUCGCUAGUAAUCGUGAAUCAGAAUGUCACGGUGAAUACGUUCACGGGCCUUGUACACACCGCCCGUCACACCAU
rnacentral:rRNA from 1 species